rnacentral:rRNA from 1 species
AGUGAACGCUGGCGGUAGGCCUAACACAUGCAAGUCGAACGGUAGCACAGUAAGAGCUUGCUCUUACGGGUGGCGAGUGGCGGACGGGUGAGGAAUACAUCGGAAUCUACUUUUUCGUGGGGGAUAACGUAGGGAAACUUACGCUAAUACCGCAUACGACCUACGGGUGAAAGCAGGGGAUCUUCGGACCUUGCGCGAUUGAAUGAGCCGAUGUCGGAUUAGCUAGUUGGCGGGGUAAAGGCCCACCAAGGCGACGAUCCGUAGCUGGUCUGAGAGGAUGAUCAGCCACACUGGAACUGAGACACGGUCCAGACUCCUACGGGAGGCAGCAGUGGGGAAUAUUGGACAAUGGGCGCAAGCCUGAUCCAGCCAUACCGCGAGGGUGAAGAAGGCCUUCGGGUUGUAAAGCCCUUUUGUUGGGAAAGAAAAGCAGCAGGUUAAUACCCCGCUGUUCUGACGGUACCCAAAGAAUAAGCACCGGCUAACUUCGUG